rnacentral:rRNA from 1 species
UACGAAGGUCCCGAGCGUUGUUCGGAAUCACUGGGCGUAAAGGGAGCGUAGGCGGCGCGGUAAGUCAGAUGUGAAAUCCCGGGGCUCAACCCCGGAACUGCAUCCGAUACUGCCGUGCUAGAGGAUUGGAGAGGUAGCUGGAAUUCUUGGUGUAGCAGUGAAAUGCGUGGAGAUCAAGAGGAACACUCGUGGCGAAAGCGAGCUACUGGACAAUAUCUGACGCUGAGGCUCGAAGGCCAGGGUGGCGAAAGGG